CACAGGCAGGGUUCAAAUCUUCCAGAAUAAAAGGACUGGAGGCCAGCCUCUCUGCCAGCCUUUUCACAGCCCUAAAAACAGUUAGUUUGCUCUUGAUUUCUGGUAGAAGUCUGCUUAUCCUAGAUGGCCCGCACCAGGGAUGUCCUACUCUUCUCCUUUGGUGUGUUUGAUACUUGCUGAUGCAAGCAGGAAUGAUUUUGUUCUUUUCUGUAGUAACCACCACAGGUUUAAGAGUCUAAUAACAAAAUUAUAGAGAGUGCCUAUUACAACCCUCCUACCCUCGGGCCAUUAUUUCGGUGAGUCAUUUACAACACCAGGAAAGUCACAUCCCUGAAGCACAUCUCAGCACGAGCUAGAAGUCCGCCUGCUCCUUCCCCAGCACCAGCUGGUUACAACAAAGCCACUGCAGUCCCCUUGCCCCAGUCUCUGCCCCUGGAGGGCAAUGUCCAGCUUCCCCUCAAGGACAGGAUUCCUCUGCUGAGGUCUGGCUCUCCUCAGGGCUUUGGAUCCAGUUCCCUGUCACCCUCCUACAAAUCAUUAUAUCCUGUGUUGUGAAGACUUCCCCCUGGGCUGCAUCUGCUCCCAACUUCAUCCUUAGGGGAAAAGUGGGAGAAAUGAGCUCAUGCAAUCAUCUUUACCUUCCUGCUUUCCCAAGACUGCACAUUCUGACCAGUGAGGGGGGGUCUGGCAGCUCAAACUUUCUCGAUUCUUCCUCUACACACACACAUUCACACUCACACACUCUUACUCUUGAGCCCCCUGGGACCCGGCCCGGUUUCUGCAGGUUUCCUCGGCGCGGGACGACGGCUUCCCGAACUACCAGAAGGACGUCUGGAUAGGACUUUGCUCAAGUCCUGCAGAGCACCCAUGAGACUCUGCAGACCAUCUCUUGCCCACUGAUCUCGUCUUCCUUUAGCAUCUAGUUAAGGAGCAUGGAUCUGGGACAGACGGCCAAAUCUGGCUCUGCAGCAGGAGUACAGCGGUGCCCAGGGUUCAGGGAGUGAGGCGUGCACAGGCUGUGUGUCUUCUCCCCACUCAGAACUGAGUUUCCCCCGCCCCCGCCCCUUUUAGGUCCAGGGCCUUGUGCGGGAGGAGAGAGCAGCGGGCAGCACAGAGCCCGCUUCCUCCCAGCGAUAAGCCAAGGGAAGGAGAACUGAGGCACGAGGAAAGGGAGAUGGCUAGCUGGAAUACGACGUCAAGAGAGUCUGCGAAAGAGCCUUUGAACGUCUACUCUCCCCCAAAGUGUUCAGUGUCCACUGACAUUCCUUGAGGAUGCUGAGCACUUCUGGGCGUCUCUGCAGCGCCAGGCGCUUCACCUGUGCUACGCCAUGUGACCCACCCCACGCUCCUGGGCAACUGAAUAUCAUCCCUACCAUUUUCGGGGUGGGAAAACCAAGUUCUAAGACUUCUUUGAGGUCACACAAGCCCAAGCCUCUCUUUUUGUCACGCCAGGUUGCCUGAGAGCAACUGCUCUGCCCACGGCCAGCCGCAAUGAAGCGAUUUCUGGAUCAGCCUUCAACCCAAGUCCAGGUUAUGCUCCCCGCUCUGGAAGGCACAGGCAUCUCAGACACCCCUUCUUGGAGAUUGGAGACCCCUUGCUUGGGCCACUGGUCCAUUCCUUUUUGCUCCUUGCCUAGCAGGAACUUCUGUCUCCAUGCCACCAGCCUGCCAGUGCAUCCUUGAAAGUUAUAGACGCAGUAGAUGAUGGAUAAGAAGUUUGGUUAUUUUUUAAAAUUAUUAUUAUUUUAUCUAGAAAGCUGACAUGGGGAGAGGAAUCAUUUAUCUAUGGUUAGGGCCAUGACAUUGGAUGAGGUAGAGCAAGGAAGGAGCCUGUUUUAGGGGCAGGGGAAGUCCACAGCCUCACCUUGACAUGCCUACUCAUCUCUUGACUGUGGAUCUGAGCCCAAGGACAGAGCCAUCUGGGCUGGCGGCAGGGCCCCUCAUUCUUUCACAGGCAUCCUGCUCCUUUCCUUCCCAGGAAGCCAUCUCCCUCCUGCCGGCCUGGGUCCAUGCUGCUCCUAUCCGUGGCCCAUCCUCCCCUGCCUAGAGACAGCUGGAUGCGAGCACCUUCCCGUCCCACCACAACCCCCGGCUGCCUCCCUCUGAGGAAACAAAACCAAGCCAAGCAUCCCACCCAAACCUCAAACCCGAGCUUGGUUUGUUCUUGGUCCCAAUCUAAUGUCAUCCAGGGGAUGUGGGAUGGGAGGGGAAGGAUGGGGCAGGGGGAGUGGAGGCCACCCAGGGGAAGGCGUGAGCAGAGCCAGACACCAAGGGCUCUGGGACUCCUACAUCUUCCCCUGGCUGCGAAGGGCCUGUCUUUGCUAUAGUUGAGUGCUCUGUUCUUUCUCUGUCCUGUCUCAUUCAUGCCUUCCUGCCUUCUACCUCCUGUGCUGGGGCUGGGAGAUUGGAAGCUGUCGGGGCCCUGUAGGAGGCACUGUGGAGUAAGUGGCAUUGGUUUCACCACAGACUGCUGACAUUUGUCAGGGCACCACUGGAAAUCUUAAAGAAUCACCAAAUUGGCAAAUAUCACAGUGAGCUGUAAUUUCUGCAUAAGCACCAUCUGUUUCACUCCUAUGCCCCUAGCUUACUUUGAAGGGUCUUUUUUUUCCCCACAAAGAACGAAAACAUUCAUAACUUUACAGGAAUUAGUGUGUUUAUGAUGAAAAGUAGAGAACAAAGUCAUGGAUGGUCUGCGUCAUUCACCCUUAGGCAAAGUCUCGAGUUGUAUACUCUCCAUGCCCAAAACCCUCUGUGCAUAUAUCCUCCUCUUUCCCUUCUGGAAGAUCCAGUUGAACUUGAGGGAAAGGAACAAGAGGAUGGUGAUGGAGAUACUCUUCCAGAGGCAUGAAUUUCUGUGUUUAGGCAGGUCUGGCUGUUCCUGUGCACUGUGAUUCCAGAACACAGUAGGACAGCCGGACCAGCUCUGGACGGUGCUGAGGACGCAAGGCUCCCACAUCCUGCUUCCCAGAGCCUUCUCUUCUAUUUCCUGACCAACCAGGCAAUCUCCUCAGACAUGAGGGGGAGGUGAGAAUCCACUUUAUACAUCUUCAUCACAUCAUGUUAGGAUCUGGGCACCACACACGCAGACUUAAAGCCUGCAAGUUCGUCCCCUCUGCUAACACCCACCCAGGGCCCUGAUCCCAGCCUAAU